UUUCUUUCAGACCACUAAAUUUGGGGGGAUCUGGUUGUUAUGUUGGAAGGGUACUUAAGCAGUUUUUUGCAGGGGACCAUGUGCUGAGAAAUUGAAGUUUCCUGCCACAUUCAGUCCUGACCUGUGGGCCAUAUGUUGAAACGUACAUUGUCAAGGUUGAACUCUUGUGAGACCGUCACUCAUCACAUACCUACUCACAGUAGAGAUUGACCUUGCAUUCCUGAAGUGCUUAGAAAACAAAUCUCAACUUCUUCAAGACAGAAUUUCAGAACAUAACAAGGAAGGGAGAUACUAUCUCAAGACCAGAGGCAAGAACUAUGAACUGCAGAGUUCCACUCACAGCAGCUUGGGCUUCUGGGUGCCAGGGAGAACCCUCCUGCUACAGCACGGCUGAUUCCUGCACUCAUUAUGGCGAAGAAGUUUUACAAAGCUCUGAUGCAUUCAUGAGGAUGGUCAGGACCUCCAACAGUGAGCUGAGGAUGAGGAGUGGAAAAAGA